UACAGAGGUCUCGAGCGUUAGGCGGAAUUACUGGGCGUAAAGCGCGUGUAGGCGGGUCUUUUAAGUCAGGGGUGAAAUGCCAAGGCUCAACCUUGGAACUGCCUUUGAUACUGGAGACCUUGAGUCCGGGAGAGGUGAGUGGAAUUGCGAGUGUAGAGGUGAAAUUCGUAGAUAUUCGCAAGAACACCAGUGGCGAAGGCGGACUCACUGGCCCGGAAC
rnacentral:rRNA from 1 species